UACGAAGGGGGCUAGCGUUGCUCGGAAUCACUGGGCGUAAAGGGUGCGUAGGCGGGUCUUUAAGUCAGUGGUGAAAUCUCCGGGCUUAACCCGGAAACUGCCAUUGAUACUAUUUGUCUUGAAUACUGUGGAGGUCAGCGGAAUAUGUCAUGUAGCGGUGAAAUGCUUAGAUAUGACAUAGAACACCAAUUGCGAAGGCAGCUGGCUACACAAAUAUUGACACUGAGGCACGAAAGCGUGGGGAUCAAACAGG
rnacentral:rRNA from 1 species